rnacentral:tRNA from 1 species
UGCGCUAUGGUGUAAUGGCAACACGUCAGAUUUUGGUCCUGCUGUUCCCGGUUCGAAUCCGGGUGGCGCAAC